AGGAACUACAACUGUGCUGGCUACCUAAAACUGUACCAUGUUUUUCCUUGUUUACCCUCACACAUAGUAGAGAAGCCGGAAAAAGAUGACCCAACACAGAGAGAGUGAAAGAAAAAUCAAUAAGGAUAAGAGAAGAGGAAGGAGAACUGGAAUGUUUGUGAGCAGCCCAAUAGACUACUGAAAUGAGUAAGCCCAACAGAAAGAACAGGCUGCACUCUCCCUUUCUCUCUUCUGGCUUCAGAGCCAGUUCAGGCCUAAGAACUGUAACAUGAUUGAUAAAUGGGUUGACCAGCCCAUGGCACAGGCAAAGCACCAAAUGAGGUCUCGGAGGGAUCGAUGCAGGAAGCAGCAGUGAAGGCAGAGAGAGAAGAGCAAAGAGAAGAACCAGAAAGAAAUAAAAAAACCUAACAGUUGGCCAUCUUUCAUGUAAGGGCAGACAUCUGUCCAGAUUUCAAAUAGUGUAA